AGAGCGAACGCUGGCGGCAGGCCUAAUACAUGCAAGUCGAACGGACCCUUCGGGGUUAGUGGCGGACGGGUGAGUAACACGUGGGAACGUGCCCUUUGGUUCGGAACAACUCAGGGAAACUUGAGCUAAUACCGAAUGUGCCCUUCGGGGAAAGAUUUAUCGCCAUUGGAGCGGCCCGCGUCUGAUUAGCUAGUUGGUGAGGUAAAGGCUCACCAAGGCUACGAUCAGUAGCUGGUCUGAGAGGAUGAUCAGCCACACUGGGACUGAGACACGGCCCAGACUCCUACGGGAGGCAGCAGUAGGGAAUCUUGCGCAAUGGGCGAAAGCCUGACGCAGCCAUGCCGCGUGAAUGAUGAAGGUCUUAGGAUUGUAAAAUUCUUUCAGCGGGGACGAUAAUGACGGUACCCGCAGAGAAGCCCCGGCUAACUUCGCGCCAGCAGCCGC
rnacentral:rRNA from 1 species